rnacentral:lncRNA from 1 species
CUGUGUUGGUGGCUGCCAGUUUCACCUCCUGACCACCUGUCCAAGAGUCUCAGAGUCCACGAAACAGCAACAGGAACGUGAACCUCGAGAGACAACACUGUACAGACAACGAAAUGUGUUUUAUGCCAGAUUUCUCAUGCAACAUGCCCCGGUAAAUACACAUACAAGUUAUUUCUAGCAACAUCCUGAAAUUAGACCCUUAAAAUGGCUCUUUCUCCCUUCCUUUCAUAAAGGCACUUGUUAUGGACAGAAUUGUGUUCCUAUAAAAUUUAUAUGUUGAAGCCCUGACUGACUUGGAGACAGAGCCUUUACAGUGAUAAUUAAGAUUAAAUGAGGUCAUCAGGAUGAGGCUCGAAUCCAUUAGGACUAGUGUCUUUAUAAGAGGAGAAAGACAUGAGAAACCACCAAAGGCUACUCAGCUGCAUGCAGGCAGAACGUGAAAAGUAUGAUGGCGUUAACUUCCCUGAGAGCAAACCUCAUCUCAACCACUCUGGCCUCCCAUUCCCCCAGUGGAACAGUGCUGAGAUGAGUUCCAUGUGGUUUCAUAGCAGGCCCCUGGUACAUUGAGCCCUUGUUGCCUACAGUGGUAAACAACUCAGAAAUGUACUCUUUGCUGGCUUUUCUUCCUUCUCUGUCUUAUUUUCACUACUCCCUCAAUUUCACAUCCUCUCAAAUAAACCACCUGCACUCAAGUCUUUGCCUCAGCUCUGCCUUUGGGGGAAUCUGAACUCAGCACUCUUGCUGAAAGUAAGCUGUGCUUUAGUCCACAGUCUUCUCUCCACCUGUUCACCGUUCCACCCUCCACCCUGUAGGGAACACUCCUAUCCAUCUUUUCAGUCCCUUGGUGAACACUUCUGUUGUUUUCCUAAGUAACCAGUAUAAAUCCUUCUUUGUCAUCCUCGUUGCACUUCCAUGUAUUGUUCCUCUUAUCUCACUGUCCUGAGAUUGUUUUCAUCUCUGCCUUCCCCUGGGAUUUCUGAAUCAGCAUCAAAGAAUCCUGGAAGUACCUAACAGGACAUGUAACUGCCCCUAAGUCAUGAGCUCCUGUUGGUAGAAACUAUAACUUGUUUGUUUUUGAAUCUCAAUACUAUUUCACACCAUAUUGGCAUAGAGGACCCAAUAGAUGAUAGUUGGACAGAAGUAAAGUCACUCUGCAGGGCAGAGGCACAAGCUCAGAGAGAAUUUAUUUCCUCCCCAUCUUUUCUCCUGGAAGUCCUCCUUCUCACAGUGUUCCUGCUCCCUGGCACUGAGCUGAGGUAUGCAACGAAACCCAUGGGACCUGUCUGUAUAAUGGAGAUGCAUACACCCUCCAGGCCUUUGCACAUAGGCUAGGUCCCUGUAGCACAUCUGGAGGACAGGGUCACUGAGGCCUGGCUUAAUUUAGCUGAGCCACUCCAGGAGGAAUAAUGGUAGCACUGAAAGUCUACUUUUCUGCCCAUUCUGUUAACAUCCUGCUGGC